GAGCCCCCUGCCCCAGCCGUGCUCCCACCACCCAAACUGAGCAGAGCCUGGCAGCACGGGGGUCACUCCCUGGUGCAGAAACCCCACUGGGCAGCUGGACGGACAGACUGACCACCAGACAGCCGCUGCUGAGCCCCCCUGUGGGCAGCAGCAGGAGGGGGAUGUUUUGGAGCCCAUCAGCCAAGCGGGCACAGCUGUAACCCAUCCCUGAGAGCUCGGCAAAGGAAGGCUCUUCCCCUGCAAGCUGCUGGUAUUUACUCAUCUGCUUAAUGAACUCCGCUUGGAGCAGCUGCAGGGAUGAGUCAGGCUGUAUUUCAAGGCUGCAAGCGGUGUCAGCCCGGUUCUGUGCCACUGUGCUGCUGUUGGUGUGGCUCAGGCUGGGACCAGUACGAGCCACACCACUGCCCUGCCUCCCUGGCAGCCCCUCCGAUGCGUCGGCCUUGAAGCUGCAGCUGAUGCCUUUAAAUUCCCCAGCAAAGGAAAGACUUCAACCAAGUUGGAAAAGCUAAUUUGGAUUUGCCGUCCCAGGGCUACCAACCAGCCCCAGCAGCAGGGUGCCAGCAGUGCUACCAAGCCAUAGAAAGCAGAAAUCAGCUUUUCUGCAAGGCACGCGACUGACUUGAUAAAGGAGGGACAGCAAUUUUUUUUUUAUCCACGAAGCACCUGCAUGUGUCAGUGCCUGCUGCUUUUAAACACAGCUCUGAAGUGCUUCUGAGAGGGCAGGGCACCUACAGUGCAAAUUGAUUGCUUCCUUUUGAUAAAAUAAGGUUGUAUGGAAAGAUCUUAGGGUAUGGAAGAAGCAGAGUGGGGGCAGAUCUUCAGCUCCCACUUGUUCUUCAUCUGAGAGUGUAUGAUCCUCACCGCAGCAAAUUAUCUCUGAUAUAAUGGCACUUUGACUGCACUCGACACUGCAAGCAAAUCACCAGUAUCUGUCUUGCACCCUAAUUAGUUACUGUGACAUUAAUCAGUCUGCUAAACAUAAUACAUACCCUCAGCAAACCCAGCGCUAAAAAUACGAGGCUGAGUUUAUAUUUGUAAUCAGGACAUUAAUAUUUUUUUUAGAGGGAGUUGUCUCAGCCACUAUGGGCAGGCACUUGUAUUAAAUCCCCGUGCCUAUAGAUCUUCCUGCUCAUAAAACAAAGAGUGACCUCAAGCUAGGUGUAAUUUUUUUUUUAUGAAAUGACAGGUAGAAAUCCCUUCCCUUUUCAGGCCCUGGUUUCUCUUCAUCCUUUACUCUGUGU